UACGAAGGGGGCUAGCGUUGCUCGGAAUCACUGGGCGUAAAGGGUGCGUAGGCGGGUCUUUAGGUCAGGGGUGAAAUCCUGGAGCUCAACUCCAGAACUGCCUUUGAUACUGAAGAUCUUGAGUUCGGGAGAGGUGAGUGGAACUGCGAGUGUAGAGGUGAAAUUCGUAGAUAUUCGCAAGAACACCAGUGGCGAAGGCGGCUAUCUGGACGGUUUCUGACACUAAGACUCGAAAGCGUGGGGAGCAAACAGG
rnacentral:rRNA from 1 species